rnacentral:rRNA from 1 species
AUUGAACGCUGGCGGCAUGCCUUACACAUGCAAGUCGAAAGGCAGCACGGACUUCGGUCUGGUGGCGAGUGGCGAAUGGGUGAGCAAAGUAUCGGAACGUACCCUAGAGUGGGGGAUAACUAUCCGAACGGAUAGCUAGUACCGCAUAUUCUAUGUGUACGAAAGCAGCGGAUCGCAAGACCUUGUGCUCUGGGAGCGGCCGAUAUCAGAUUAGCUAGUUGGUGAGGUAAAGGCACACCAAGACGACGAUCUGUAGCGGGUCUGAGGGGAUGAUCCGCCACACUGGAACUGAGACACGGUCCAGACUCCUACGGGAGGCAGCAGUGGGGAAUUUUGGACAAUGGGGGCAACCCUGAUCCAGCCAUGCCGCGUGAGUGAAGAAGGCCUUCGGGUUGUAAAGCUCUUUCGGCCGGGAAGAAAUCGCACGGGUUAAUACCCUGUGUGGAUGACGGUACCGGAAUAAGAAGCACCGGCUAACUACGUGCCAGCAGCCGCGGUAA